rnacentral:lncRNA from 1 species
AGUAAAGAUGACACUCCAGAGGGCUAUCUAAGGUUCCAGUGAAAUAUACAAGACCCGCAGCCUCAUUUACACCUGCAAUUUGCUCGACCAUCCAAUCACCUUGAGUUAUUGGUUCCAGGCAUUUUCCACUUGCAUCGUGCAGAUAGAGGUGUUUAAAACCUGUUUUUUCACUAGCCCAAAUAAAUCCUCCAGAAAAUUUACCAAGACCUUUAUCCAGAGGUGUAAAGCAGUCGUGCAAACUGACCCAUGUAUCGUGUUCUUCAACCAAAAGUACUUCUCUUUCUCCUGUUUGGAUAUCAAACUUUAGGAUCUUUAGUUUCGAAUGUGACCUGUUCAAAACCUGAGCAGUAAGAAUAUUCCCAUGC